rnacentral:rRNA from 1 species
CAACCGCCGCGGGAAUACGGAGGGAGCUAGCGUUGUUCGGAAUUACUGGGCGUAAAGCGCACAUAGGCGGUUAUUCAAGUCAGAGGUGAAAGCCCGGGGCUCAACCCCGGAACUGCCUUUGAAACUAGAUGACUAGAAUCUUGGAGAGGUCAGUGGAAUUCCGAGUGUAGAGGUGAAAUUCGUAGAUAUUCGGAAGAACACCAGUGGCGAAGGCGACUGACUGGACAAGUAUUGACGCUGAGGUGCGAAAGCGUGGGGAGCAAACAGGAUUAGAUACCCCGGUAGUCCCUGUCUCUUAUAC